UACGGGGGGAGCAAGCGUUGUUCGGAUUUACUGGGCGUAAAGGGCGCGUAGGCGGCCACCGCAAGUCGAUUGUGAAAUCUCCCGGGCUUAACCCGGAAAGGUCAACCGAUACUGCGGGGCUAGAGUGCGGAAGGGGCAACUGGAAUUCUCGGUGUAGCGGUGAAAUGCGUAGAUAUCGAGAGGAACACCUGCGGCGAAGGCGGGUUGCUGGGCUGACACUGACGCUGAUGCGCGAAAGCCAGGGGAGGCGAACGGG
rnacentral:rRNA from 1 species